rnacentral:rRNA from 1 species
AUUGAACGCUGGCGGCAGGCCUAACACAUGCAAGUCGAACGGCAGCGGGGGGAAGCUUGCUUCCCUGCCGGCGAGUGGCGGACGGGUGAGUAAUGCCUGGGGAGCUGCCCAAUCGAGGGGGAUACCAGUUGGAAACGACUGCUAAUACCGCAUACGCCCUGAGGGGGAAAGGUGGGGAUCUUCGGACCUAUCGCGAUUGGAUGCACCCAGGUGGGAUUAGCUAGUUGGUGAGGUAACGGCUCACCAAGGCGACGAUCUCUAGCUGGUCUGAGAGGAUGACCAGCCACACUGGAACUGGGACACGGUCCAGACUCCUACGGGAGUCAGCAGUGGGGAAUAUUGCACAAUGGGGGAAACCCUGAUGCAGCCAUGCCGCGUGUGUGAAGAAGGCCUUCGGGUUGUAAAGCACUUUCAGCGAGGAGGAAAGGGUGGCAGCUAAUACCUGUCAUCUGUGACGUUACUCGCAGAAGAAGCACCGGCUAACUCCGUGCCAGCCGCCGCCGUAAUAC